CUUUACCACCAGACCAUGAGGAAAGUCCUAAAUAUAUUCAUGUAUACAAAAUCUCAUGAUUUAACAGAAGGAUUGGGUCCAAUAUCUGAAGCGUUCUGCUUUAGAGUUUUCUAAAUUUUAGUUAUCCUUCAGAUUUUAACUACAGUCAUGAGCCACCUAUACUAUGACUUAUAUAAUGAUAUUUUCUUUAAGUCGAGUAACGCAUUUAUAUGUUGCUAUUGCUCCUCACAACCUCAGGUAUUUAUUCAUUGUGGAAGCUCAGAUGAUGGACCCAGAUGUAACCUCAGGAUCCUCUUUAUUACAGCGUCUCAAGGACCCCUCUUUCCAAGUUCCCUUCUCAAUACAGCCAAGAGGCUAGAUCUCAUCAAUAAAAUCCUGGACAGACAUGAGAGAACUGAAGAUGACACACCCUGA
ensembl:lncRNA